rnacentral:rRNA from 1 species
AGAUUGAACGCUGGCGGCGUGCUUAACACAUGCAAGUCGAGCGGCAGCGCGGUAGCAAUACUGGCGGCGAGCGGCGGACGGGUGAGUAACGCUUGGGAAUCUGCCUAUUAGUGGGGGACAACCCGGGGAAACUCGGGCUAAUACCGCAUACGCUCUACGGAGGAAAGCCGGGGACCGCAAGGCCUGGCGCUAAUAGAUGAGCCCAAGUCGGAUUAGCUAGUUGGUAGGGUAACGGCCUACCAAGGCGACGACGGGUA